CUUCCCGGCGGGCGUCACGAGUCGGUCUUGCUCUUCUUUACCUCCCUCCUUCUCUCCUCUACCUCUCAGUCGAGUAGUCUGGCAGCUGGUUUAAGGGUGCGCAUCCGCGUGCGGAGAGACUCCCCAGAGCCAUGCCCGAGGUAGUGGAUACAUGCUCCUUGGCCUCUCCGGCUUCGGUCUGCCGAACCAAGCACCUGCACCUGCGCUGCAGCGUCGACUUUACCCGCCGGGUGCUCACCGGCACCGCCGCGCUCACGGUGCAGUCUCAGGAGGACAAUCUGCGAAGCCUGACCUUGGAUACAAAGGACCUUACGAUAGAAAAAGCAGUCAUCAAUGGACAAGAAGUCAAAUAUACUCUUGGAGAAAGACAAAGUUACAAAGGAUCACCAAUGGAAAUCUCUCUUCCUAUUGCUCUGAGCAAAAAUCAAGAAGUCGUUAUAGAAAUUUCUUUUGAGACCUCUCCAAAGUCUUCGGCUCUUCAGUGGCUCACUCCUGAACAAACUUCUGGGAAGGAACACCCCUAUCUCUUUAGUCAGUGCCAGGCCAUCCACUGCAGAGCAAUUCUUCCUUGUCAGGACACUCCUUCUGUGAAAUUAACCUACAGUGCAGAGGUAUCUGUCCCUAAAGAAUUGGUGGCACUUAUGAGUGCCAUUCGUGAUGGAGAAGCACCUGACCCAGAAGACCCAAGCAGGAAAAUCUAUAAAUUCAGCCAAAAAGUGCCCAUGCCCUGCUACUUGAUUGCUUUAGUUGUUGGAGCUUUAGAAAGCAGGCAAAUUGGCCCAAGAACGUUGGUUUGGUCUGAGAAAGAGCAGGUGGAAAAGUCUGCUUAUGAAUUUUCUGAGACUGAAUCUAUGCUUAAAAUUGCAGAAGAUCUGGGAGGACCGUAUGUAUGGGGGCAGUAUGACCUGUUAGUCCUCCCGCCGUCCUUCCCUUAUGGCGGCAUGGAGAAUCCUUGCCUCACGUUCGUAACUCCCACUCUGCUGGCAGGAGACAAGUCACUCUCCAACGUUAUCGCACAUGAAAUAUCUCAUAGCUGGACAGGAAAUCUAGUGACCAACAAAACUUGGGACCACUUUUGGUUAAACGAAGGACAUACUGUGUAUUUAGAGCGCCACAUUUGUGGACGACUGUUUGGAGAAAAGUUCAGACAUUUUCACGCACUGGGAGGAUGGGGAGAACUACAGAAUUCGAUAAAGACUUUUGGAGAUACACAUCCUUACACCAAACUUGUGGUUGAUCUGACGAAUGUGGACCCCGAUGUAGCAUAUUCUUCAGUGCCCUACGAGAAGGGCUUUGCUUUACUCUUUUACCUUGAACAACUUCUUGGGGGUCCAGAGGUUUUCCUAGGAUUCCUAAAGGCUUAUGUUGAAAAAUUUUCCUACAAGAGCAUAACCACUGAUGACUGGAAGGAUUUCCUGUAUUCCCACUUUAAAGAUAAGGUUGAUCUUCUCAAUCAAGUUGACUGGAAUGCGUGGCUUUACUCUCCUGGAAUGCCUCCUGUAAAACCCAAUUAUGAUAUGACUCUCACAAAUGCCUGCCUUGCCUUAAGUCAACGGUGGAUGACUGUGAGCCAAAGAAGAGGAUUUAAAUUCAUUCACCCCAGCAGACCUGAAGGAUCUCUCUUCUCAUCAGUUGAACGAAUUUUUAGCACAGAUGCUCCAGAGAGCGCCUCUUCCAUUGGGGCACAUAAAGCGAAUGCAAGAGGUGUACAACUUGAAUGCCAUUAACAAUUCUGAAAUACGAUUCAGAUGGUUACGGCUCUGCAUUCAAUCGAAAUGGGAGGAAGCAAUUCCUUUGGCUCUCAAAAUGGCGACUGAGCAAGGGCGAAUGAAGUUUACACGGCCUCUAUUCAAGGACCUUGCUGCCUUUGACAAAAGCCAUCAUCAGGCUGUGCGUACCUACCAAGAGCACAAAGCAAGUAUGCACCCCGUGACCGCCAUGCUGGUGGGGAAAGACUUAAAAGUGGAUUAAGGACCUACCAACUGCUGAUUUCAGAUAGUUCUCUUUUUUAAACCUAAUUCACGAAGAAAUAUACAAGUUCAGCUCAUAUGUAACUAAAAAUGUUGUUUUUGUUCUGGCUUUUUAUUGUUUUGUCAGUGAUUUUCAUAAAUAAAGCUGAGCUACCUUCCCCCCCACA